GACAGAGGUGCCAAGCGUUAGGCGGAAUCACUGGGCUUAAAGCGUGUGUAGGCGGACUGUUAAGUACCUUGUGAAAACCCGCGGCUCAACCGCGGGCCUGCAGCCGAUACGGGCAGGCUAGAGUUCGGUAGGGGAGACUGGAAUUCCUGGUGUAGCGGUGAAAUGCGCAGAUAUCAGGAGGAACACCGAUGGCGAAGGCAGGUCUCUGGGCCGAUACUGACGCUGAGGAGCGAAAGCGUGGGGAGCGAACAGG
rnacentral:rRNA from 1 species